rnacentral:rRNA from 1 species
UACGUAGGGUGCAAGCGUUGUCCGGAAUUAUUGGGCGUAAAGAGCUCGUAGGCGGUCUGUCGCGUCUGGUGUGAAAAUCCAGGGCUUAACCCUGGACCUGCAUCGGGUACGGGCAGACUAGAGUGUGGUAGGGGAGAUCGGAAUUCCUGGUGUAGCGGUGAAAUGCGCAGAUAUCAGGAGGAACACCGGUGGCGAAGGCGGAUCUCUGGGCCGUAACUGACGCUGAGGAGCGAAAGCAUGGGGAGCGAACAGG